GGGCCCGCACAAGCGGUGGAGUAUGUGGUUUAAUUCGAUGCAACGCGAAAAACCUUACCUACUCUUGACAUACUUGGAAGCUCUUGUAAUGAGAGUGUGCCUUUUGGAACCAAGAUACAGGUGCUGCAUGGCUGUCGUCAGCUCGUGUCGUGAGAUGUUCCGUUAAGUCGGAUAACGAGCGCAACCCUUACCCUUAUUUGCCAGCGAUUCGGUCGGGAACUAUAAGGGGACUGCCGGUGAUAAACCGGAGGAAGGUGAGGACGACGUCAAGUCAUCAUGGCCCUUACGAGUAGGGCUACACACGUGCUACAAUGGGGAAUACAGACGGACGCUAAGCCGCGAGGUGGUGCUAAUCCUAGAAAGUUUCUCGUAGUCCGGAUUGGAGUCUGCAACACGACUCCAUGAAGUCGGAAUCGCUAGUAAUCG
rnacentral:rRNA from 1 species